AUGGACGGCGCCUGCGCCGCACCUCUUUGCUGCACUCCCGCUGAGACGGAUGCGGCGGCGACGACCUCGGACCAGACUGAGACGGUGGUCGAAGCCACCGAGCAGGGCAACAACGGGGCCCCGGCGGCGGACGCCCCCGCCGCCAGCAUCGAGGGGCUCGACGGGAUAAAGAUCCGGAGGCGCCCGGUCACAGGCCCGUCCGGGCACCACGUGGGCCCCUUCCAGUUCCGCCUCGAGAACGUGGGGAAUACGCCGCGCAACAUCCUCGAGAAAAUUGUCUGGAACAAGGACGUUGAGAUUUGGCAGGUACGAUGUCAUUCUGGACUUCCGGAGCAUUGUGGUGCCCUGUGCAACGUGACGUUUCAUUCAUGUGAUACCAAACUCGUGUUCUGGCUGAUUUCUGUUCGCCAGAUGAAGGAGAAAAUGCCCUUGUACAGGCUGAAAGGUCUGCUGGACAAUGCGCCUCCGGCCAGGGACUUUGUUGCUGCGCUGAAAGCGUCGUAUGAUCGGACUGCUGUGCCUGCUCUGAUUGCGGAGGUUAAGAAGGCUUCGCCAAGCCAGGGGGUUCUCAGGAAGAAUUUCGACCCGGUCGAGAUCGCUCAAGCAUACGAGAAAAAUGGAGCAGCAUGCUUAAAAUUCUUUCAGGUUAAUAGUUUCUUCUCUAGGAGAUUUGGAUCCUUAUUUUCAUAUGCUGUGGAGUUAUCUGUACCGAAGAUACUUGGCUUCCUUUGA
rnacentral:rRNA from 1 species